rnacentral:rRNA from 1 species
UACGUAGGGGGCAAGCGUUGUCCGGAAUCAUUGGGCGUAAAGAGCGCGUAGGCGGCCCAGUAAGUCCGCUCUGAAAGUCAGGGGCUCAACCCCUGAAUGCGGGUGGAUACUGCUGGGCUAGAGUCCGGAAGAGGCGAGUGGAAUUCCUGGUGUAGCGGUGAAAUGCGCAGAUAUCAGGAGGAACACCAAUUGCGAAGGCAGCUCGCUGGGACGUUACUGACGCUGAGACGCGAAAGCGUGGGGAGCAAACAGG